rnacentral:rRNA from 1 species
UCCAGACUCCUACGGGAGGCAGCAGUGGGGGAUAUUGCACAAUGGGGGGAACCCUGAUGCAGCGACGCCGCGUGGGUGAAGGAGCGUUUCGGCGCGUAAAGCCCUCUCGGCAGGGAAGAAGGAGGACGGUACCUGACUAAGAAGCCCCGGCUAACUACGUGCCAGCAGCCGCGGUAAUACGUAGGGGGCAAGCGUUAUCCUGAUUUACUGGGUGUAAAGGGGGCGCAGACGGCAGCGCAAGCCAGGAGUGAAAGCCCGGGGCCCAACCCCGGGACUGCUCUUGGAACUGCGCGGCUGGAGUGCAGGAGGGGCAGGCGGAAUUCCUGGUGUAGCGGUGAAAUGCGUAGAUAUCAGGAGGAACACCGGUGUCGAAGGCGGCCUGCUGGACUGCGACUGACGUUGAGGCCCGAAAGCGUGGGGAGCAAACAGGAUUAGAUACCCGGGUA